rnacentral:rRNA from 1 species
AACGAACGCUGGCGGCAUGCCUAACACAUGCAAGUCGAACGAUGCCUUCGGGCAUAGUGGCGCACGGGUGCGUAACGCGUGGGAAUCUGCCUUUCGGUUCGGAAUAACUCAGGGAAACUUGAGCUAAUACCGGAUAACGUCGCAAGACCAAAGAUUUAUCACCGAAAGAUGAGCCCGCGUAGGAUUAGCUAGUUGGUGAGGUAAAGGCUCACCAAGGCGACGAUCCUUAGCUGGUCUGAGAGGAUGAUCAGCCACACUGGGACUGAGACACGGCCCAGACUCCUACGGGAGGCAGCAGUGGGGAAUAUUGGAGAAUGGGCGAAAGCCUGAGCCAGCAAUGCCGCGUGAGUGAUGAAGGCCUUAGGGUUGUAAAGCUCUUUUACCCGGGAAGAUAAUGACGGUACCGGGAGAAUAAGCCCCGGCUAACUCCGUG